rnacentral:rRNA from 1 species
AUUAAGCCAUGCAUGUCUAAGUACAUGCCGAAAUAAGGCGAAACCGCGAAUGGCUCAUUAAAUCAGUUAUGGUUCCUUAGAUCGUUUCUUUCUACUUGGAUAACUGUGGCAAUUCUAGAGCUAAUACAUGCAGGAAACCUGAAGGCCUUUGGCUAACGGGUGCUUUUAUUAGACCAAGACCCAUCGGGUUCUGCCCGUACUCUGUGGUGACUCUGGAUAACUUUGUGCCGAUCGCACGGCCACGAGCCGGCGACGUUUCUUUCAAGUGUCUGCCUUAUCAACUUUCGAUGGUAGGUUACUUGCCUACCAUGGUUGUUACGGGUAACGGAGAAUCAGGGUUCGAUUCCGGAGAGGGAGCCUGAGAAACGGCUACCACAUCCAAGGAAGGCAGCAGGCGCGCAAAUUACCCACUCCCGGCACGGGGAGGUAGUGACGAAAAAUAACAAUACGGGACUCUUUUGAGGCCCCGUAAUUGAAAUGAGUACACUCUAAAUCCUUUAACGAGGAUCAAUUGGAGGGCAAGUCUGGUGCCAGCAGCCGCGGUAAUUCCAGCUCCAAUAGCGUAUACUAAAGCUGCUGCGGUUAAAAAGCUCGUAGUUGGAUCUCAGUUCCAGACGAGUAGUGCAUCUACCCGAUGCGACGGCUCGGACUGAACAUCAUGCCGGUCUCUUCUUGGUGCCCUUCAUUGGUGCGUCUCGAGGUGGCCGGUGCUUUUACUUUGAAAAAAUUAGAGUGCUCAACGCAGGCGAGUCGCCUGAAUAAACUUGCAUGGAAUAAUGGAACAAGAUCUCGUUUCUGUUCCGUUGGUUUUUGGAAUACGAGAUAAUGAUUAAGAGGGACAGACGGGGGCAUUCGUAUUGCGGCGCUAGAGGUGAAAUUCUUGGACCGUCGCAAGACGAACUACUGCGAAAGCAUUUGCCAAGAAUGUUUUCUUUGAUCAAGAACGAAAGUCAGAGGUUCGAAGGCGAUCAGAUACCGCCCUAGUUCUGACCAUAAACGAUGCCAACCAGCGAUCCGCCUGAGUUACUCAAAUGACUCGGCGGGCAGCUUCCGGGAAACCAAAGUAUUUGGGUUCCGGGGGAAGUAUGGUUGCAAAGCUGAAACUUAA